rnacentral:misc_RNA from 1 species
AUGUCUUGCAAACCAUUCUUGUUAAUUCAUACAUUCAAGGAUAUUUCGAAACUCGGAGAAGGAGAGAGUUACUUUAGUGAUAAGGAAGAACGAUAUAAUAUUCCUUGGAGACUCCAAAUAUUUCGAAAAGGAGGUUUCCUUGGAUUGAACUUGAAAUGUGAAAAGAAGGAAUGCUUUGGAGAGAGAAAAUGGUCGUUUCAAACAAAAUUCACUAUGAAGCUAGUAGCUGUCAGUGGGAAAUUCUUCCAACGGGCUGUGCAACAUGAAUUCCAACAGCCGAAAGGACAUGGAAUGGAUAAAUUCAUUAGUUGGGAGAAUAUGCUAAGGGAUUAUGUGAAUAAUGAUAGUAUUAUAAUUGAAAUUCACGCCGAUAUGGUUAGCAGUACAGGUUUCUUUGAUGUCAAAUGAAAGAUUAGAUUUAUGAGUAGUACUCCUGAUUGAUAAUUUCCAGAUCUUCCAAAUUCGCAACCAGAUUCCAAUAAUUCAUUUGUUCUGAAACAUACUUUUAAGAAAAUUUCGAGAUUUAUAGAGGGUGAAAGAGAUUGUAGUGAUGCAGAAGAGCAUUUUACCAAGGAUAUUUUUGGAGCUUGUCAGACACGUCGGGAAAGAUACAAUUUUAUUAGGUGGAACGAUAUGGAGAAAGAUUAUGUGACCAAUGACAGUAUCGAUGUGGAAAUUCGUGUGAAAAUAAUCAAUAUCACAGAUGCACCAUGCAAUAUUGCAAACACGGAAAAAACGUUUGUACUAUCCCAUACUGUCAAGAACAUGUCAAGUAUUAAAGAAGGAGGGAACUACUUUACAAACAUUCAAACUCGCUUCAAUAUUCCAUGGAAAUUGCAAAUUCGAAAGCAAAAAGGGUUUUUUGGAUUAUAUCUUCUAUGCGAGAAACAACUAUGUGAAUCCAGAAAAUGGUCAAUUGAAACUGAAUCUCAACUGAAAAUAGUGUCACCCAAUGGGAGAAGUUUACUGUUUGGAGGAACAGAUAUGUUUGAAAAACCAUUCGGCUACGGAUGGACUAAGCUCAUGAGAUGGGACAAUUUGGAAGAAAAAUACAUAGUCGACGAUGCUCUUGUUAUUGAAGCUCACGUAAAAAUUCUAAAUAUGAUUGGAAUUGAGGAUGAAACCCCUGUUGAGAAACCUACUGGAAUUGUGAUUCCAGUGGGAGAUCAGGAGUAUUCAAUGGAAAAAUGGCUCGAAAUGGCUUUCGAUCAUUAA